AUUAUAGAAACACUAACCCCAAAUGCCAUCAGAAAUGUUAGCUCCAUUCUGCGUUUGAAAGAGGAAGGUUGUGGGUGUCCAGUUAGAAGGCUUAGGGUCCAGUCUCCCUCACCUGCAAAGUGUACCAGGGUGGCCACUCUGGGAGUAUGGGUUCCUCUUCUGGGCAUUAGACACUCAGGCCAUAUGGGGAGGUACUUCUUUGGUUUAGGCUGGUUAACUCUUUGGACCUUUAGCCUAGGCUACACCACUGUCCACACUGGCUCAGGCUACACUGUCCUGAAAUCUUCCAUAGCCCUCUGAAGUCUGUCUUGGGAUUGAUCUCCUUAAGGUCUUCCAGGACAGGUACCAGGGACCUUUGUUAGGCUCCACAGAAAUCUACACCUGCAGGGAAAUAUGAAAGGAUACCUUCAGAUUAUAAUUUAAUCUUUUUUAAAAAACGAUUUGAUUUGAUUUAUGUGUGUGUGUACACACAUGCGUGUGUAUACGGCUGCAUGCUGUGUGUGACAGGCAGUGGUAAGCCCUUGGAUGUGGGUGCUGGGAACCAAAUGUGGGUCUUCUGAGACAUCUGCAGCCCACAUAACAUCACUUGAAAACAUGAAUACAGAAACAGGAUUGUACUGAGUGUGUGUGCGCACAUGUCUGUGAGUGUGUGCUAGACAGAGUCUCUCACUUGCCUGGAACUCAUGGAGUAGGGUAGGCCUCAGAUACCCACCUGUUUCUGUCUUCCCAGUGGCUGGGUUGCAAUCAUACACCUCCACACUUGUCUUUUGUUGCUGUGUUGUUUUGAAACCAUGGAUUCUGGAGUUGGCGAAUCUCCCUGGUCCUUAUUCAGAGUUUCUGAAAAGGCAUUUACCAUGCUUCAUCCCUUCUGGCUUUGAGCUGUAUGAUAUCUCCCCUUACCUUUAAUUCUUAUGUAUCCCUGCUUUCCUUACGCAUGAUGCUGGUGCUCACAUGACGAAGAAUAGCAGAUGCUCAUCUCCUUCAGUUACUAGACAAUAAAGACGCUGAAAACCGAAGGAAGAAGCAAAAAUAAAUUUAUUUCUUUACUGAAAGAAAGGAGAAUGUCCUCUUGGAGGAGUGCAGUUAGCCCAGGUGUUAUGAGCAGCCUACCUGUGCCAAGAGCCUUUCCAUGUGCUGCUUUGAGAGUGUUUGUUACCAGCGCCCAUUCCCUGCCUCUACAGAAAUGGAUCUCGAAUGUGCCUAGAAGGGUCUGGUGCUGAGGCGUUGUACAUACUAGGCUACCACUACUCCUAGCCCCUUGAUGAUGGGUUCAGGAAUGCUUCUACUGGCUGAGCACGCCCUCCGCUCCUCACUGGUACAGUGAGACAGGACUUCAUCACUGAGCCACUACUCCCCGUCUCCCAGCUCCUAGCUCAUGUCCCUGCAGUGUAUCCAGUAAACUAAAUUUAGACCCUCUGGGACAACAGAGAAGGAGCCAUGUGGCCCAGAUCUCUGUCUUCGUGUGCCGUGGGCCAUAUGACAUGCUUGCCUUCUCGGAUCUGAAAACCUAGGCUAGAUUUGGGUCUAGUGAAGCAACUUGGGGGUUGGGGGAAAGGCAACAAUCGGAAACUGCGCAUUUCUGUAACAAUAACUUCAGACAAAGUAAGAUGAAGAGAUUUGAAAAAUAAAUACAAUUGCC
ensembl:processed_transcript 5031434O11Rik RIKEN cDNA 5031434O11 gene